GACGUAGGAGGCGAGCGUUGUCCGGAUUCAUUGGGCGUAAAGAGCUCGUAGGCGGUUUGUCGCGUCUGCUGUGAAAACCUAAGGCUCAACCUUGGGCUUGCAGUGGGUACGGGCAGACUAGAGUGCGGUAGGGGUGACUGGAAUUCCUGGUGUAGCGGUGGAAUGCGCAGAUAUCAGGAGGAACACCGAUGGCGAAGGCGGUUCUCUGGGACGGUACUGACGCUGAGACGCGAAAGCGUGGGGAGCGAACAGG
rnacentral:rRNA from 1 species